GAAACUCUCGGGGUUACAGCCUUGCUGAAUUAUUCACCCUUGUCUUUUGCGUACUUCUUGUUUCCUUGGUGGGUUCGCCCACCACUAGGACAAACAUAAACCUUUUGUAAUUGCAAUCAGCGUCAGUAACAAAUUAAUAAUUACAACUUUCAACAACGGAUCUCUUGGUUCUGGCAUCGAUGAAGAACGCAGCGAAAUGCGAUAAGUAGUGUGAAUUGCAGAAUUCAGUGAAUCAUCGAAUCUUUGAACGCACAUUGCGCCCUUUGGUAUUCCAAAGGGCAUGCCUGUUCGAGCGUCAUUUGUACCCUCAAGCUUUGCUUGGUGUUGGGCGUCUUGUCUCUAGCUUUGCUGGAGACUCGCCUUAAAGUAAUUGGCAGCCGGCCUACUGGUUUCGGAGCGCAGCACAAGUCGCACUCUCUAUCAGCAAAGGUCUAGCAUCCAUUAAGCCUUUUUUUCAACUUUUGACCUCGGAUCAGGUAGGGAUACCCGCUGAACUUAAGCAUAUCAAUAAGCGGGAGGAAAA
rnacentral:rRNA from 2 species